CCUCACGCGCUUGCUGGAAGGGAAUUCUGGCUGCGCCCCCUCCCCUAGAUGCCGCCGCUCGCCCGCCCUAGGAUUUCUUUAAACAACAAACAGAGAAGCCUGGCCGCUGCGCCCCCACAGUGAGCGAGCAGGGCGCGGGCUGCGGGAGUGGGGGGCACGCAGGGCACCCCGCGAGCGGCCUCGCGACCAGGUACUGGCGGGAACGCGCCUAGCCCCGCGUGCCGCCGGGGCCCGGGCUUGUUUUGCCCCAGUCCGAAGUUUCUGCUGGGUUGCCAGGCAUGAGUGGGAGAGGGUGUGUGUGUGUGUGUGUGUGUGUGUGUGUGUGUGUGUGUGUGUGUUGGGGGGCUGCGUCCCUGGUAGCCGCGUGUGCCCUGUGAUGGAGCCCGGGACCUGCCCGCCCGAGGCCGCCUCGGCGAACUUCGUUUUCCCUCGAAUCUCCAGCCACCGUUCAGCAGCCUGUCGGUGUGCUCCCCAAUGCCGUAAAAAAAUCAGAAUUAUAAAUAUAUUCGUAUGAGCAGAACUUUACAUGGAAAACGAAAUACUAAUAAAAUGGGCUUGUUAUUCUGUUGGAGUGAGUGCCUAGGAAGGGUUUCGUCGUUGUAGAAACGCCCCUACAAGAGUCUCACCAGUCACACAGGACUGCCCACCAUUUCCCCGUUUUGGAGAGAUUUUUCCUUCUUAAAUGAAUGGCAUGACUCAAUACUCGAAGGCAUCACGGGCUCUAACACACAGCCGCCCUUGCAGCUGUGCGCUCUGGAAAGCUGGAGUAUGGGCCCCCAGGGCACUGUUUGUAAAGACUGGUGGCCGGCACAAAAGACGGGCACAAAAGAUGGGCAGGCUGGGAGGGAGCGAGGUAGAGGAAGGAGUCCUGCCUAGAGAUCCACGAGGGCUAGAAUUAGCUCAUUCAUCCCCUACGUACCAGGGGGCACCAUGCUGGGCGCUGGAUGUGCAGAAAUGAACAAACAGGCCGGCCUCUGCUCUCGUGGAGCCUGGGAUCUAGUGUCUCUGACUGCAAACAUCCACAGAUUUACAACUUGAGGUGGCCUGCACCAGACCCACGGGGCAAUAACAGUCUUCCAUUGAAUUCUUUAGCAGUUUCUACAAUUGCAUAAGGAUGUCACAUUGUGCUUAGACAUUCUCAGUUUUCUGAAAAAUUAUGAGGUUCAUGACCCCCCUGAGAAGCCCACCUUGGAAAUGAAGAUGUCUAUUGUGAGAGGAAAUGGUCUCAUAUCUCAGGAUUCUACGUGUUUUAAGAGUUGGUCCUACCUUUCUUCUCGAUCCACUUGAUCACAAAGCAACCUUUCUAGAACAUCGUUUUCGCCAUCACAAGACAGUUGGUUCCAGAUGUUAACAAGAUCAACCUUGCUGGGAAAUGAACAAGCGACCAGAUGAGGGAAUGGAGGCUUAGAGAGGAAGAAUGGUCCAAGAUGGUGCAGCAAAUGGCAGCCUCAGGAAGAGGAUCCUGACCAGUUCCCUGAAAGUUUUGUAGGCUCCUACCAGUGAAAGCCUCCUCACAACUCUCUUCUUCUCCCCAAGGACUGCGUGCAAUUCUACUUGGAGAUCUUCAUAACACCUUAAGGGAAAAAUCCUUUUUGAAAGAAAAACAAGUCUGGGUGGUGCUUGAAAAUUCAGAAGGCAGCUAGAAACUCUGCCAAUUACAACUGGUGAUUGCUGAGUUCUGGAGACAGACUGGGCUUCUGCUUUCUUUUGGUGGAGGUGUCUGCUUGCAGAAAAUUUAUGUUCUGGGAUUUACAACUUCAGGGAGACAAAGGAAACUCCAGCUCAUCUCCCACAUCAUUGAUUGAGAGGACCAUUUUCUGACUGUCUGCACACGCAGCAUGAUACAGGACGUACUUCUCCAUUUACAACACCCGGUGGGCUUCAUGCUGGUAUUUUGGGACUAAAUUCCCCUUUCAGGUUUCCUAUACUACCCUUUAAUGCAACAAUGGGAUGAAGAGAUGAAGACUUCUAGCAGGCUACCUCAGAAAGGUUGCUGACCAAAGGCUGUAUGGACCAAAAAGUCAUAACACCACCCUGGAUGAAAGGACAUUUACCUAAGGAAUUACCCGCUCUCAAUUCUUCCCAGGUGCAUGUAGUAUAGAUUAAAUAAGGUGGUUGUAUGGCAACAGAGACAUUAUUAGAAACAUUCUUCUUGAAGUUUGACAACAAAGCAGUAGAUGUGUAUCUACUACAGAGUUGUUAGUGAAAAAAGGGAUGGGCAUUUGAAUUAUUUCCAGUUUUUGGCUAUUAUGAAAAAAACUGCUAUGAACAUUCAUACACAAGUGUGUGUGUGGACCCAUGUUUUCACUGAUCAAGGCCUAAAUACCUACGUGGUGCUUCGUGAACCCUGGAUGCUACAGUCUCUGGCCACAGCACUAAAUGUAUGCUGAGAUCUGGCUUCACGGUCGAGGGUGUUGCUGGUUUUCAAUGUGCCUGACAUAGGAUCAAUGGUGAAUGCACCAGAAGCCUCAUCAGUCAGAAAAUACUCAGUUUGCCCAUUCAGGCCUUCAUCCUUGUCCACAGCUGAAAGCACAAGAACCACUGUUCCCACUUCAGCAUCUUCUCUCACAGAGGACUGGUAAUAAAGUGUGGGAAAAGAAGGACUGUGGUCAUUGGCAUCCAAAACUCUAACUUGCAGGUGUAUUACAGAGCUCCUAGGUGGAUCUCCCAGGUCAGAGCACAGAAUGACAAGGGUAAAAUUGCUGAUUUGCUCCCGGUCCAAAGCACGAGUGGUUGAGAGUUCUCCUGACAUCUCAUUUAUAGUAAAGCACUCAUCAGUAUUUCCAUCUAUUAAAGAAAACAAUUACAAAUUCAUUUGAAUUGAAAAAGUAGCAGCUCUUUGCUAGCACUAUCUAUGGUAUUCAUUUAUACAUUCAUUAAAAAUAUAUUUAUUCCCGA
rnacentral:lncRNA from 1 species